UACGUAGGGUGCGAGCGUUGUCCGGAAUUAUUGGGCGUAAAGGGCUCGUAGGCGGUUUGUCGCGUCGGGAGUGAAAUCCACUGGCUUAACUGGUGGCUUGCUUUCGAUACGGGCAGACUGGAGGCAUGCAGGGGAGAACGGAAUUCCUGGUGUAGCGGUGAAAUGCGCAGAUAUCAGGAGGAACACCGGUGGCGAAGGCGGUUCUCUGGGACGGUACUGACGCUGAGACGCGAAAGCGUGGGGAGCGAACAGG
rnacentral:rRNA from 1 species